rnacentral:lncRNA from 1 species
CGUGUUGCUUAUUCUUUAGUUUUCUAUGUUGUGUCAUGUGUUUUAUCGUUUGUCUGUUUGUCUUCUUUCAUUUUUAGCCAGGCAUUGUCAGUUUAUAGCUGCUUUUGAUUAAACACUUUACUUUAUACUUUAAAGCUUCCAUACAUCGGAGUUUCUUGAACUUACUGUUUUUCAUUACUGUACUGUAAAUAUGACACUGAAUUAUAUUUCGUUAUUCCAACUGUUGUCAGACCAACUGUAUUUGGCUUCGCAAGUAGCUUUAUGUUCGUAUUAACACUGCUCCGUAUGUUAUG